rnacentral:rRNA from 1 species
ACGGCUCAGUAACACGUGGACAACCUACCCUCCGGACGGGGAUAAACCCGGGAAACUGGGUAUAAUACCCGAUAGAUCUCGACUGCUGGAAUGCAUCGAGAUCGAAAGCUCCGGUGCCAGAGGAUGGGUCUGCGGCCUAUCAGGUAGUAGUGGGUGUAGCGUACCUACUAGCCUACGACGGGUACGGGUUGUGAGAGCAAGAGCCCGGAGAUGGAUUCUGAGACACGAAUCCAGGCCCUACGGGGUGCAGCAGGCGCGAAAACUUUACAAUGCCGGCAACGGCGAUAAGGGGACCUCGAGUGCCAGGUUACAAAUCUGGCUGUCGUGAUGCCUAAAAAGCAUUGCAUAGCAAGGGCCGGGCAAGACCGGUGCCAGCCGCCGCGGUAACACCGGCGGCUCGAGUGGUAACCGUUAUUAUUGGGUCUAAAGGGUCUGUAGCCGGCCGGAUAAGUCUCUUGGGAAAUCCAGCAGCUCAACUGUUGGGCUUUCAGGAGAUACUGUCUGGCUCGAGGCCGGGAGAGGUGAGAGGUACUUCAGGGGUAGGGGUGAAAUCUUGUAAUCCUUGAAGGACCACCAGUGGCGAAGGCGUCUCACCAGAACGGACCUGACGGCAAGGGACGAAAGCUAGGGGCACGAACCGGAUUAGAUACCCGGGUAGUCCUAGCCGUAAACGAUACUCGCUAGGUGUCGGCCACGGUGCGACCGUUGUCGGUGCCGUAGGGAAGCCGUGAAGCGAGCCACCUGGGAAGUACGGCCGCAAGGCUGAAACUUAAAGGAAUUGGCGGGGGAGCAC